AAAUUGAAGAGUUUGAUCAUGGCUCAGAUUGAACGCUGGCGGCAGGCCUAACACAUGCAAGUCGAACGGUAACAGGAAGCAGCUUGCUGCUUCGCUGACGAGUGGCGGACGGGUGAGUAAUGUCUGGGAAACUGCCUGAUGGAGGGGGAUAACUACUGGAAACGGUGGCUAAUACCGCAUAACGUCGCAAGACCAAAGAGGGGGACCUUCGGGCCUCUUGCCAUCAGAUGUGCCCAGAUGGGAUUAGCUUGUUGGUGAGGUAACGGCUCACCAAGGCGACGAUCCCUAGCUGGUCUGAGAGGAUGACCAGCCACACUGGAACUGAGACACGGUCCAGACUCCUACGGGAGGCAGCAGUGGGGAAUAUUGCACAAUGGGCGCAAGCCUGAUGCAGCCAUGCCGCGUGUAUGAAGAAGGCCUUCGGGUUGUAAAGUACUUUCAGCGGGGAGGAAGGUGUUGCGGUUAAUAACCGCAGCAAUUGACGUUACCCGCAGAAGAAGCACCGGCUAACUCCGUGCCAGCAGCCGCGGUAAUACGGAGGGUGCAAGCGUUAAUCGGAAUUACUGGGCGUAAAGCGCACGCAGGCGGUCUGUCAAGUCGGAUGUGAAAUCCCCGGGCUCAACCUGGGAACUGCAUUCGAAACUGGCAGGCUUGAGUCUUGUAGAGGGGGGUAGAAUUCCAGGUGUAGCGGUGAAAUGCGUAGAGAUCUGGAGGAAUACCGGUGGCGAAGGCGGCCCCCUGG
rnacentral:rRNA from 1 species